AGAAUAUACUGAGGCGUUGAAAUAUAGCUAGUAUUUGGGCACUUUAUGCUAUAUGGAGCCAGUAGUGCAACCGGCAGUAUUUUUA
rnacentral:ncRNA from 2 species